GCUAUCAGACUUUGCUGGUAAUAGGCAGGUUAAUCUAUUAUGCUGAGAAACUGUCUCUGGGGUCACAGCUUCCUGGCAUGGAGAACCUAACCGGGAUUAGAUGUGUUCAGGAAAGCACUUCAACUGGUAACUGGCACGUGGUAAGUACCAUGUAAGUGCUAGCACCUAUUAUUUCUGACACCUGCAAUUAGUAGGAUAUAGAUCAUGAAAUAAAAUAAUUUGGUUAGAAUAGAAAGCUUUCGAGGUUUUCUUCUAGUCCUAGGAGUCAUUUAAUUAUUCUCUUUUUCUGAUUAGUUUUUCCCAUCACAUUUUAAUAUUUAUGAAAUUGAGAAGCACCUUACUAUUGAUCGAAUGUUUAAAAUUUUGGUGAAUUGUUAUUUCCUCCCAUUUUUUGUUGUGUCUCACAAUUGAUGGUAUCUUCAAAUUGAGUAAAUCUAG
rnacentral:lncRNA from 1 species